AUUGAACGCUGGCGGCAUGCCUUACACAUGCAAGUCGAACGGUAACAGGUCUUCGGAUGCCGCCGAGUGGCGUACGGGGGCGUAAUACAGCGGAACGUGCCCAGACGUGGGGGAUAACGAGGGGAAAGCUUGGCUAAUAUCUCAUACGAUCUAAUGAUGAAAGCAGGGGACCGCAAGGCCUUGUGCGGCUGGAUCGGCCGAUGGCAGAUUAGGUAGUUUGUGGGCUAAAAGCUUACCAAGCCGACGAUCUGUAGCUGGUCUGAGAGGACGACCAGCCACACUGGGACUGAGACACGGCCCAGACUCCUACGGGAGGCAGCAGUGGGGAAUUUUGGACAAUGGGCGAAAGCCUGAUCCAGCAAUGCCGCGUGCAGGAUGAAGGCCUUCGGGUUGUAAACUGCUUUUGUACGGAACGAAAAGGAGCUGGCUAAUACCUGGGGCUCAUGACGGUACCGUAAGAAUAAGCACCGGCUAACUACGUG
rnacentral:rRNA from 1 species